ensembl:lncRNA
UAAGUGGCGGCGCUGAACGCGGUCCUUGCAGAGGGGGGCAGCACUUUCACUCCGGACCCCUACCUGGGAGCCCGAGCGCGACUCCAGCGCUGUCACAGCACCAGAAGCAGAUGUGCGAGUCGGGAGCAGCACCUUGGCGGCUGUGCGCGGCUCUUCCUUGGCAAGGCUCUUUUGCAUUUCAAGGAGAGAAGUCUAAGUGAUUUUUACCCAGGGGAGGAAUAAUGUAGAUCCUAACCUUUUCUUAUAGUUCCAGGUAAGUGAGUCUAUUUAACAUAGAUGAAUUAAAAAGCAAAGCUAUGUUUGGUCAG